GACGAACGCUGGCGGCGUGCUUAACACAUGCAAGUCGAACGGAAAGGCCCCUUUGUGGGUACUCGAGUGGUGAACGGGUGAGUAACACGUAAGUAACCUUCCCUUGACUUUGGGACAACUUUAGGUUACUGGGGCUAAUACCGGAUAGGAAUCCUUUCUUCAUGGGGGGGGUUGGAAAGCUUCGGCGGUUUUGGCUGGACUGGCGGCUUAUCAGCUUGUUGGUGGGGUAGUGGCUUACCAAGGCUUCUACGGGUAGCCGGCCUGAGAGGGCGACCGGCCACAUUGGGACUGAGAUGCGGCCCAGACUCCGACGGGAGGCAGAAGGGGGGAAUAUUGCACGAGGGGCGGAAGCCGGAUGCAGCAGCGCCGCGUGCGGGAUGACGGCCUUCGGGUUGUAGACCGCUUUCAGCAGGGGCGAAGCUUGUGGUGACGGUACCUGCAGAAAAAGCACCGGCUAACUACGUG
rnacentral:rRNA from 1 species